rnacentral:rRNA from 1 species
AAUGCAGUCGAGCGACAGAUAAGGAGCUUGCUCCUUUGACGUUAGCGGCGGACGGGUGAGUAACACGUGGGUAACCUACCUAUAAGACUGGGAUAACUUCGGGAAACCGAAGCUAAUACCGGAUAACAUUUGGAACCGCAUGGUUCUAAAGUGAAAGAUGGUUUUGCUAUCACUUAUAGAUGGACCCGCGCCGUAUUAGCUAGUUGGUAAGGUAACGGCUUACCAAGGCGACGAUACGUAGCCGACCUGAGAGGGUGAUCGGCCACACUGGAACUGAGACACGGUCCAGACUCCUACGGGAGGCAGCAGUAGGGAAUCUUCCGCAAUGGGCGAAAGCCUGACGGAGCAACGCCGCGUGAGUGAUGAAGGGUUUCGGCUCGUAAAACUCUGUUAUUAGGGAAGAACAAACGUGUAAGUAACUGUGCACGUCUUGACGGUACCUAAUCAGAAAGCCACGGCUAACUACGUGCCAGCAGCCGCGGUAAUACGUAGGUGGCAAGCGUUAUCCGGAAUUAUUGGGCGUAAAGCGCGCGUAGGCGGUUUCUUAAGUCUGAUGUGAAAGCCCACGGCUCAACCGUGGAGGGUCAUUGGAAACUGGGAAACUUGAGUGCAGAAGAGGAAAGUGGAAUUCCAUGUGUAGCGGUGAAAUGCGCAGAGAUAUGGAGGAACACCAGUGGCGAAGGCGACUUUCUGGUCUGUAACUGACGCUGAUGUGCGAAAGCGUGGGGAUCAAACAGGAUUAGAUACCCUGGUAGUCCACGCCGUAAACGAUGAGUGCUAAGU